UACGUAGGGGGCAAGCGUUGUCCGGAUUUAUUGGGCGUAAAGAGCGUGUAGGCGGUUUGGUAGGUCCGCUGUGAAAACUCGAGGCUCAACCUCGAGACGCCGGUGGAAACCAUCAGACUAGAGUCCGGAAGAGGAGAGUGGAAUUCCUGGUGUAGCGGUGAAAUGCGCAGAUAUCAGGAGGAACACCAGAGGCGAAGGCGGCUAGCUGGAUAGGCACUGACACUCAACUGCGAAAGCGUGGGGAGCAAACAGG
rnacentral:rRNA from 1 species